rnacentral:misc_RNA from 1 species
UGGUUCUGGCAUCGAUGAAGAACGCAGCGAAAUGCGAUAAGUAAUGUGAAUUGCAGAAUUCAGUGAAUCAUCGAGUUUUUGAACGCACAUUGCGCCCUCUGGUAUUCCGGGGGGCAUGCCCGUUCGAGCGUCAUUGCACCCAUCGAGCCCGGCUCGGUAUUGGGCCACGGGGGAGACCCCGGGCCCCAACGUCUCCGGCUGGAGCGUCUCGAUCGCAGCGUUGUGGCACACCUCAAAUCGCUGGUCGGUCGGGCGCAGCACGCCGCGAAACCCUUCUAACGUUUGACCUCGGAUCGGGUAGGGAUACCCGCUGA